GGGGUUGUAGCUUAGUGGUAGAGUGCUUGCCUUGCAUGCAUGAGACCCUGGGUUCAAUUCCCAGCACCACA
rnacentral:tRNA from 1 species